GGACCCGCACAAGCGGUGGAACAUGUGGUUUAAUUCGAUACUACGCGAAAAACCUUACCAAAUCUUGACAUAUUAAUUAAACAACUAAGAAACUAGUUAUUCAGUUAGGCUGGGUUAAUACAGGUGUUGCAUGGCUGUCGUCAGCUCGUGUCGUGAGAUGUUGGUUAAGUCCCGUAACGAGCGCAACCCUUAUCUUUAAUUGCAAACAGAUAAUGCUGUGAACCUUAAAGAAACUGCCAAUGUAAAAUUGGAGGAAGGUGAGGAUGACGUCAAGUCAGUAUGGCCCUUAUGAUUUGGGCUACACACGUGUUACAAUGAUAGUGACAAUAUGAAGCAAUGAGGUAACUCGGAG
rnacentral:rRNA from 1 species